rnacentral:tRNA from 1 species
UCUCUGGUAGUAUAUCGGUUAGUACACGCGCCUGUCAUACACACCUUGACCGCGCGAAAGCGGGGUUCGACUCCCCGCCAGAGAG